UACGUAGGUGGCAAGCGUUGUCCGGAUUUAUUGGGUUUAAAGGGUGCGUAGGCGGCUUUGUAAGUCAGUGGUGAAAUAUGGCAGCUCAACUGUCAAGGUGCCAUUGAUACUGCGGAGCUUGAGUACAGAUGAGGUAGGCGGAAUUGACGGUGUAGCGGUGAAAUUCUUAGAUAUCGUCAAGAACACCUAUAGCGAAGGCAGCUUACUAGGCUGUAACUGACGCUGAGGCACGAAAGUGUGGGGAUCAAACAGG
rnacentral:rRNA from 1 species